rnacentral:rRNA from 1 species
GACGAACGCUGGCGGCGUGCUUAACACAUGCAAGUCGAACGGAAAGGCCCUGCUUUUGUGGGGUGCUCGAGUGGCGAACGGGUGAGUAACACGUGAGUAACCUGCCCUUGACUUUGGGAUAACUUCUGGAAACUGGGGCUAAUACCGGAUACGAGCUCCUGCUGCAUGGUGGGGGUUGGAAAGUUUCGGCGGUUGGGGUUGGACUCGCGGCUUAUCAGCUUGUUGGUGGGGUAGUGGCUUACCAAGGCUUUGACGGGUAGCCGGCCUGAGAGGGUGACCGGCCACAUUGGGACUGAGAUACGGCCCAGACUCCUACGGGAGGCAGCAGUGGGGAAUAUUGCACAAUGGGCGGAAGCCUGAUGCAGCAACGCCGCGUGCGGGAUGACGGCCUUCGGGUUGUAAACCGCUUUCGCCUGUGACGAAGCGUGAGUGACGGUAAUGGGUAAAGAAGCACCGGCUAACUACGUG